rnacentral:rRNA from 1 species
CGAGUGGCGGACGGGUGAGGAAUACAUCGGAAUCUACUCUUUCGUGGGGGAUAACGUAGGGAAACUUACGCUAAUACCGCAUACGACCUACGGGUGAAAGCGGAGGACCUUCGGGCUUCGCGCGAUUGAAUGAGCCGAUGUCGGAUUAGCUAGUUGGCGGGGUAAAGGCCCACCAAGGCGACGAUCCGUAGCUGGUCUGAGAGGAUGAUCAGCCACACUGGAACUGAGACACGGUCCAGACUCCUACGGGAGGCAGCAGUGGGGAAUAUUGGACAAUGGGCGCAAGCCUGAUCCAGCCAUGCCGCGUGGGUGAAGAAGGCCUUCGGGUUGUAAAGCCCUUUUGUUGGGAAAGAAAAGCAGUCGGUUAAUACCCGAUUGUUCUGACGGUACCCAAAGAAUAAGCACCGGCUAACUUCGUGCCAGCAGCCGCGGUAAUACGAAGGGUGCAAGCGUUACUCGGAAUUACUGGGCGUAAAGCGUGCGUAGGUGGUGGUUUAAGUCUGUUGUGAAAGCCCUGGGCUCAACCUGGGAAUUGCAGUGGAUACUGGGUCACUAGAGUGUGGUAGAGGGUAGCGGAAUUCCCGGUGUAGCAGUGAAAUGCGUAGAGAUCGGGAGGAACAUCCGUGGCGAAGGCGGCUACCUGGACCAACACUGACACUGAGGCACGAAAGCGUGGGGAGCAAACAGGAUUAGAUACCCUGGUAGUCCACGCCCUAAACGAUGCGAACUGGAUGUUGGGUGCAAUUUGGCACGCAGUAUCGAAGCUAACGCGUUAAGUUCGCCGCCUGGGGAGUACGGUCGCAAGACUGAAACUCAAAGGAAUUGACGGGGGCCCGCACAAGCGGUGGAGUAUGUGGUUUAAUUCGAUGCAACGCGAAGAACCUUACCUGGUCUUGACAUCCACGGAACUUUCCAGAGAUGGAUUGGUGCCUUCGGGAACCGUGAGACAGGUGCUGCAUGGCUGUCGUCAGCUCGUGU